UACUGUUCUCGUUUCGUGUUAUGAUUGCUUGGCGUGUGGUAUUAGCAGAUAUCCGGGACCUCUGGAAAAUUAGGGUUUUCCUAGUUUCCUUAUUUAAACGGAAAUCGACAGUGCGAAUUUCGGUUCCCACAACGACCAUAGGGCACCGAUCAUUCUGUGUAUUAUCUCCUUCUCUGUCACUUCAUCAUCUAUGAUCUCAUUAGUUAUCCAGUUAAAAAAAAAAAAGAGAUAUAUGUAUAUUAACCAUUUUAUAUGACAUCAUCGAUAGAGAAGGAGGAUUAAGUCGGUCAGAUGCCCUUUUGAGUUGACUCGGUCAGAACUAGAAAAAGGAGAGUUGGUACCAAUAAUAGGGAGCAGAAGAACAGUCAAAGCGAUAGCUCCAGAAGUCAGCAAAACGAGUGAGGGGUUGUGGACGUCAAUGGAUCCAUCCUCUCUUGCUAUUUUGCGCGAUAUCCUGCAUUCACUACAAAAAAUUUGGUAAACCCUAAACACUUUUUUGACUCACUAUAAAUUAGCAUGUUCAUACUUAGCCCGUCUACCCUGAAUGAUGUAUGUGAGUUCUGUCUAGAAAGUGUGCCUUUUCAGGAUUGAGAUAUAGAGUAUGGAGCCGAUCUUUGAACAGUGAUCAGCGAAAGUUCUAGUAAAAGUGUGUGGUCCUAGUCGGUUGCUUAUAUGGUUCAGAGAUUUGAGGUUAAGGUAUGGUUAUUGAGGAUUAGGAGAGUUCCCACACUUUCAAACCUUUUCCCUGUUCUUGAUACUUGCCUUGUUCGAGGACAAACAAGGAUCUAAGUCUGGGGGAAUUGAUAUAUGGUGUUUUUGACAUCAUUGUGUAUAUGCUUUCUAACUUGUUUUCAUUGUUUUAUCGAGUUAAUCUAGUCUUUUUAGAGUCAUUUCAGGUCUGGAGAAGAUUGAAGAGCUAAAGGAAGAGGCACGAAAAAAGGAGCAAGAAUUGGAGAUUUCUCCCGAAGAACAAUCUGCGGAGCAGUAUGACGGUCGAUCCUACCAGGAACAGGUUAGACGAUUGUUCUCGAUAAUUAUGGAAGUUUCCAUAUCCUCCAAAGAUUUUCCCUAGUUGCCGAUUCUCGACUUUGAAAUCUAGGGGCGCCUCCAUAUAAAACCGGCCCCUAUAUAUUUUAUUUGAGGACGCUAGUUUUUGCAAGAGACCUAGACCUUAUUCUUGGAUAUUGCUAUUGUAAGGGAGAUGGCUCCUCUUCUUGACAGAGAAGAUCAUCAUGAACCCCAUUGUUUUACCUUUGAUUUACAUGCAGUAUUAUUCAGUUAUCAUGUCUUGUUCAUCUUGUGUUAUCGCUGAGUAGUCGGCUAGCUUGUCUGGGGUUCUAGGGUGUUAAUCGCGAGGCUAAACAUAAAUAAGCAACUCUUUUGCUUUUUCGUUCAUUCUAGUUCUUAAUGCUAGUCCUAACCUGAUCACUUACUGCUAGAUCUUAGGCUCAACCACUCACUAACCGUGUAGUAGUUUACCUGAUAUCGAAUGAAUGAGCUGAGCAUCUCUAGUCAGCGAAAGUAGAUACUAGAGUGUUCAGUGAACCCAUCGGACUUGAUCUUUAUAGCUUGCGAUCGACCAUUGAUCCAAACGACAGUUUAGGCGUCAAGGUCGAACCGCAAAGGGAACAACGCCACGACAGUGGGUUGUUCUACUAAGAGUGAUAUGUGUUCUAGAUCAUGUCUCAACGAGCUUGAAUAAAUGUUUGGCUAAGUUUUAACACCAGAUGAGAAACCCUAGAUUGGCUUAUCUUUAAUAUUGAAUCUAAACUUUUUAAAAUCUUUUACUUUACUUGCAAGUCACUACUUAAUUCAAAAUUCUAUUUUUAGUUUUAGCUAAGUUGAAAGUUCAUAAGAAUAAAGUGUAGAGUGGUUCUCUGGAAUGAAUCUAAAUUACUACAGUUAUCGUCGUUAACUUGAUAGUAAGAAAGAUUCAGUUUUAGUGUAUUAGAAGUCGUGAUCCACCUGAAGAACUUACCACCGGUGUUCAUGAGGAAUUGGAACUCACCAUUCCCAAGCUUUUUUUCCCUCCCUCACUUCUCUGUUUCUUUAGAUCAAUGUUUUGUGUUGUUCUGUUGAUUUCUUGUAACUUAGACCCGAAGUUUUUCGGACACACGGUAGUAUUGUACAGUUUCAGAUCUGCUUUUCAAGAGCAAUUAAUAUAUAUUUAUUAAGAAAACAUUUCUUGCUGUAUAAUAUAAGGUGAGAAUGAGAUGGAUGUAAAUGUAUUAAUUAUAUAUAUGUAUUACUAUUCUUUGUGUGUGCUGUUGUAUUCAACGAGAGAGAUAGAUAGGAGUUGACUUCUUUAUUUGUUUGUUGGAAAAAUAACGACGAGAGAGAAAAUGAUUAUAUUCUUGGGUUCUUGAUAAUAUUUUCUACAGAUAUUUUCUAUUAGAUAAGCAUGAUAUUAAAAUGGCAAGCUCCUCUGUCCUCCUCAUAUUUUGGUGUAGAUUCUGGUUCGAUGUUGUAAAGAAUGUCUAGAUCCAACAAUCUUUGAUCUACACCAGCCAUAGUUGUGAUUAUUUCCAGAAAGAUCGACUUGGUUAAAAGAGAUCAACAAAUAGUGAACCAAAUUUCCGGUUUCCGGAAGAAAGUUGUGUUGUCCGGAUUCAGGUACCGAUGAGGCGACUUUUUUUGCGCUGAGCACCGUUACUCAGAUCGCCAUGAUUGCAUCUAUGAUUAUAAAACCGCCGGCUGGUCGUGACACUGUCACUAGAGAAAACCCAGCCGUUAUGCCGGCGAAGAUGAUCAAAGUUUAAGAAAAAAAAACAAUCUUCAAUUGUGGUUCAAGCUCCGAUCUAUAAAUAUCGGAAAUAUAGAUGCUCUGAGACAUUGCUUUGAUUCUCUCUGUUUUGUUAUGAAAUAUCAUAGAUAUUUUUUUUGUUUUCUUGAAGAUUAGAGAGAUUUUCUGCUCGAUUAAAUCUGAAACCAAAUUGAUUUGUCCCUUUCUGCUUAUAUUAGUGAAUGAUUUUUAUUAUUUUA